AACCUACUCACAGGGUCAUUAUUAUGUCCCUAAAACUCCGUUUCUAAAAAGACUUCUGAAGACCUUACUACUUUCCACAGAAGAGGAGCUAUAAAUUUCAGCUGCUCCUAUAUCCUCAUCUGGUGUAGUAAAUCAGCAACAGUAGGUGUCUCCUAUCUAGGAGAUGCCCUGAUUUGGAGUACCAAUUAUGAAUCUGGACAAGGCUCAGAGAAAAGGAAGCUGGAUCAGCUGGUCUCCAAAUUCAUCCCUAAAGAGUCAAGGCUACUAGGUCCCUACCACAGAUCUGGUCCUGCUCGUUGUGGUCAUUGGGUAAAGUCCUCAAUAAAAAAGAAGAAUCUAUAUGGGUCUGUUUCUUCUGAUGGCCUUGGGAAUGGUGCUAGGCAACUGAAACUGGGAUUUGGAUCCUUGCCUCAGAGAACAUGAAUAGCUGCUACAAUUUCCUUAUCUAUUUAUUUAAUCUUGCUAGAUUGUGUUUAUUUUUGAAAACUGCCUCAAAUCCCUUUGUGAGAAAAACAAGAUAUGUAUGCAUGGAUGAAAGAAUAUAGAACCAUGAUGAAAAUGAGAGGUAAGUAAGCCCUAUACCCAGGGAUGCCAAAGCUCUCCCACGCAGUGAGUUAUCACAAUGCCUGAAAUCUAACCACCAGAGGUACUUCUGUGAGAUGAGCAGGAUCAAAAGGAGCACAUUUUCUCCCACAACUCUGGUAGUUUAUGAUUGUACUUUCAAGUACUUUGUAAACUUAAACCUCUUUAUAAACCAGGAGAAUUGUAAUGUUAAUGGAAAUGAGUUCAAGUCAAGUAAUGGAUUAAUCUGGAUUAGAAGACUGUUUUCAUGGAAGUCAGAAUGAAAGAAGUUGGCACAAGGGGGCAAAAGAUACAUAAGUCACAAAAGCAAGGGAAGUGAUGCUUCAGGAAAGGAAUGGGACCCACUGUGCAACCUGGCUGGGUAGAGCAAGCCGUGGUGUAAUGAGUAAUGAGGCCAUUCAGGGAAGAAGACCACCUCUCCCACAGGAGACUAAAUAAAUCCUAAGGAGUGUGGCCCAGCAGCCAGAUGAACCAGGGUAAUUCCCCCUUCUGCCACACACACUGCCGGAGCUGUAUGAUCUUCAUCAAGUGACCACCUUUCCGUGCCACUUUCCCAUUCAUGAAAUGGAGAAUAUAGUAGAAUGAUUCUCCUAAGCAACAGUGGGGACUGAAUAAAUUGAUGUAAGAAUUUAGAGUAAUGCCUGACACACAGUAAUCACCACAUUGAUUAAAUGAAACACGUGGGAAUCAAAAGGUGAUCUAGGUAAGGACUGGGUAUCAUGGAGGUUGCAAAAUGCCUGUGAUUUUGACUUUCAUCUGUGUUUGUUUCUCCGUUUUAAGAAACAUAUACCUAAGGCAGAAGUGUAAGGAAAAGAAAUAUUAAAAGUGGGGAGUUCGGUGAAGCACAGGGUGCAAAAAUUCAGUGGUGGGGGAAAGAGGGAAGUUUAGAAAGUGUUUUAAGAAAAAAAAUUUGAUGACAGAGUGAUAAGGGUAAUCUUUUGUUUUUGCUGUUUAGAGGAACAGGUAAGAUAGUCCUUGAAUGCUGCGAAUUGUUAUUACUCAAGUACAGGUUCCUGAUGAUUGUGGGAAAGUGUCCUGGCCUGUGGUGAGCACAGGUGCUGAAUGGACGAUGAUGGACACUUAUAAUGAGUGACUAGAGGCAGCACCUGGCCUUUGAGGACAUAGGUUCUUUUCUGUUUCUGCCCAACAGGAAUAUGAUGAGAAUCACAGAUGUAACUUAAAAGUUUCU
rnacentral:lncRNA from 1 species